CUCAGGUGGUACAACGUCCAAUUUUCUGAGGAACCUCCAGACUGAUUUCCAGUUUGCAAUCCCACCAACAAUGGAGGAUUCUUCUUCAUUCUCCACAUCCUUGCCAGUAUCUGAUUUUUUUCUCUUAACCAUUCUGACUGGUGUGAGGUGGAAUCUCAGUGUUGUUUUGAUUUGCAUUUCCCUGAUGACUAAGGUUGAACAUUUAUUUACGUGCUUCUCAGCCAUUCAAUAUUCCUCAGUUGAGAACUCUUUGCUUACCUCUGUUCGCCAUUUUUAAUAGAGUUAUUAGGCUCUCUGGAUUCUAACUUCUAGAGUUCUUUGAAUAUAUUGGAU
rnacentral:lncRNA from 1 species